rnacentral:rRNA from 1 species
CAGGCUUCAUACAUGCAAGUCGAGGGGCAGCAUAAAUUACUUGUAAUUUGAUGGCGACCGGCGAACGGGUGCGUAACGCGUAUGCAACUUACCUUUUACUAGAGAAUAGCCAAGAGAAAUUUUGAUUAAUGCUCUAUGUUCUUAUUUACUCGCAUGAGUAAAUAAGCAAAGCUCCGGCGGUAAAAGAUGGGCAUGCGUCCUAUUAGCUUGUAGGUGAGGUAAUGGCUCACCUAAGCUCCGAUAGGUAGGGGUCCUGAGAGGGAGAUCCCCCACACUGGUACUGAGACACGGACCAGACUUCUACGGAAGGCAGCAGUAAGGAAUAUUGGACAAUGGAGGCAACUCUGAUCCAGCCAUGCCGCGUGAAGGAAGACGGCCUUAUGGGUUGUAAACUUCUUUUAUACAGGAAGAAACCUUUCCACGUGUGGAAAGCUGACGGUACUGUAAGAAUAAGGAUCGGCUAACUCCGUGCCAGCAGCCGCGGUAAUACGGAGGAUCCAAGCGUUAUCCGGAAUUAUUGGGUUUAAAGGGUCCGCAGGCUGUUUGUUAAGUCAGAGGUGAAAUCCUACCGCUCAACGGUAGAACUGCCUUUGAUACUGGCAAACUUGAGUUAUUGUGAAGUAGUUAGAAUGUGUAGUGUAGCGGUGAAAUGCAUAGAUAUUACACAGAAUACCGAUUGCGAAAGCAGAUUACUAACAAUAUACUGACGCUGAGGGACGAAAGCGUGGGUAGCGAACAGGAUUAGAUACCCUGGUAGUCCACGCCG